rnacentral:rRNA from 1 species
UACGAAGGGGGCUAGCGUUGUUCGGAAUUACUGGGCGUAAAGCGUGCGCAGGCGGCUAUCCAAGUCAGUGGUGAAAGCCCGGAGCUCAACUCCGGAACUGCCAUUGAAACUGGUUGGCUCGAGUACGAGAGAGGUGAGUGGAAUUCCCAGUGUAGAGGUGAAAUUCGUAGAUAUUGGGAAGAACACCGGUGGCGAAGGCGGCUCACUGGAACGCAACUGACGCUGAGACGCGAAAGCGUGGGGAGCAAACAGG